GACAGAGGGUGCAAACGUUGUUCGGAAUUACUGGGCGUAAAGCGCGUGUAGGCUGCUCCGCAAGUCGGGUGUGAAAGCCCUGGGCUCAACCUAGGAAGUGCACUCGAAACUGCGGAGCUGGAGUCCUGGAGAGGAAAGCGGAAUUCUCGGUGUAGAGGUGAAAUUCGUAGAUAUCGAGAGGAACACCAGUGGCGAAGGCGGCUUUCUGGACAGUGACUGACGCUGAGACGCGAAAGCGUGGGGAGCAAACAGG
rnacentral:rRNA from 1 species